rnacentral:lncRNA from 1 species
CGGCGUCCGUCGUCCGUCAACGUUAACUUUUACAAAAAUCUUCCCCUCUGAAACUGCUGGGCCAAAUUUAACCAAACAUGGCCAAAAUCAUUAUUAGGGUAUCUAGUUUAAAAAUUGUGUCCGGUGACCCGGCCAACCAACCAAGAUGGCCGCCAUGGCUAAAAAUAGAACAUAGGGGUAAAAUGCAGUUUUUGGCUUAUCACUCAAAAACCAAAGCAUUUAGAGCAAAUCUGACAUCGGAUAAAAUUCUUUAUCAGGUCAAGAUCUAUCUGCCCUGGAAUUUUGAGAUGAAUUGGACAACCCGUUGAUAGGUUGCUGCCCCUGAAUUGGUAAUUUU